rnacentral:lncRNA from 1 species
CCCACUCAUGCACUACUGCUCUAUAGUCAGGAUGAAGCACCUGGUACAUGGAGUGGAUGCUAAACCAGUUCCCCCGAGGCUGUGUAAAACCAAGAACCUGCAUGAAAAGCAGAUCAACAUCAGAACCCUUUAAAUCCUCAUCAAUAGGAAAGAAGGAAGAUAAAGUCUAACGUCAUAACUCGUUAGCAUGCAAGUACAUCGAUGGGUG